rnacentral:sRNA from 1 species
UCCGGUACUAAGAAAGGAGAACCCAGACGGGGAGAUGUAGUCAGAGAGCAGGGGAGGAAAGCUGUGUGAGUGGAGAUUGGGAGGAGGGAAGAUGGCUGAGCGUGUCGCCUAGGCUCCAGAUCUAAACGCUAAGACCCAUGAGGUGCUUUGCCUGUAGGCAGAAGGGGAUACGAGGUGUCUUGAAACUUGGACUGGCUCUGCUGUGGACAGGAUGGGUGGGAAAUGUUGGGGGAAACUUGAGGCACCCUGUCAUCCAGGCAGAUGAGGGGAGGUCUCUGGGCACUGAGGGAGAAGGUGACAAACUCUUCAGAGACAGAGCGGCAGAACUUGCUGAUUCAUGGGAACUGGUGCCGUGGGGGUUCGGGGCGACCGCCAUAUUGUUCCUUAAGCAACUGUUUAGAUGGGGUUGCUGCAGGCUGGUGGUGGGCAGAGGGAGGGGGCGGAGACCAGGAAUCAGAGAAUCUCAGGCAUGUUAACUAGAAGUGCCCUGUGGCGGGCACAGUGAAGUGCAGUUAUGCAGAUGGAUCCACAUCUGGAAUCUUGGAAAGGGGUCUGUACUGCUGUGUCCAAGAAAAUGAAGACAUAGAUGAGAAAAAGACAUCUGGCCAUUUAUAAAUAUGUCCUAACUCCAACAGGGGGUGAGAUAUUUUAAGGGCAGAUUAAAAAGCAUCAAAAUACAAGUAAGAAAAUAGAAUUUAAUACCAUACUCAUCUGGGUGGAUAGAUAUAUGUCCCAGCAGUGGUGUCUUUGUACAACCAGGAAGAUCUGUGGACUUUGACGAGAAAGCGUCACCUUUAGCAACACGGAACUGUCGGAGCGCCACCCUAACGGCACCACGGAUGUGGCAAGGACACACUUCCACCCCUCUGACCCACGUGCGGUUCACUCGUCUUCACUGCUGCGGCAUCUUCUCUCACUCGCUUAGAUCAGACUGCAUCUUCCCAUCCCUCCCUGCGACGUUUCCCCUGGAGUCUGUAACUGACCAAACCUUCUUGAUUGCUGUCUGCUGCUCAUACACGUUCUCUGGCCUGUUUGUCUGGUAAUAAAUGCUCUCCUUCCUUGGCUGAUGGGGGUAUUUGUUUAUGAGCAAGUAAGCUUCUGAGGCUAUCGAGCUAAGACAGUAUAAGGGGACGAGCACUGUACACAUGUGCGUAAAUGCACACACACACACACACACACACACACACACACACACACAGGUAUAGGAGUCUUCCUCGCUGACACGUCUA